UGUCUCCUUUUUCCGAUCAGUUAAACUAAUCUCCCCGUGAAGAAGCGGGGAUAUAAAUAUAAGACGAGAAGACCCCAUGGAGCUUAAAACCUACUACACCCCUAAUUUGUAUAACUUCACAACCUCUAGGGCCCUGUAUCGUCGGUUUUGGGUUGGGGCGACCACGGAGUAGAACAAAACCUCCACAAUGAACGGGACCACCACCUUAUCUAAGAAUCACCUUUCUAAGAAUUAAAAUAUUAACAUAUAUGAUCCAUUUUUUGAUCAAUGAACCAAGUUACCCUGGGGAUAACAGCGCAAUCCAUUUUGAGAGCUCCUAUCGACAAAUGGGUUUACGACCUCGAUGUUGGAUCAGGGUANCNNAGUGGUGCAGCAGCUACUAAUGGUUCGUUUGUUCAACGAUUAAAANNNU
rnacentral:rRNA from 1 species